rnacentral:rRNA from 1 species
GAUUUCUGGUCUGGCGCACUUGGCCCGCCACGGUUACGUGGUUGUGUGCCGGUGUGCGCCUACCAUCCAUCUAGAGAACUAUUUCGCCCUUCACUGGGUGGGGUAGGUAUCUAGAUCUUUUACUUUGAAAAAAUUAGAGUGUUUAAAGCAGGCUUGUGCUAUGAAUACAUUAGCAUGGAAUAAUAAUUUAGGACUUUGGUCUUAUUUUGUUGGUUUCUAGGACUGAAGUAAUGAUUGAUAGGGACAGUUGGGGGUGCUAGUAUUCAGCGGCCAGAGGUGAAAUUCUUGGAUUCGCUGAAGACUAACUUAUGCGAAAGCAUU